rnacentral:lncRNA from 1 species
AUUAAAGAUUACAUUUUGCAAGCCAACUGGAUGCUUAAACAACUCAAAAGACAGCCACGCGCUCAUUAUAGCUCUCUUAUAGUUUUAGAAUCUGAAAAUGAACACACAAGAAAAUUUAAACGACGAUGAUGGUGACUUUUUUAGAA